rnacentral:rRNA from 1 species
CCUACGGGAGGCAGCAGUGAGGAAUAUUGGUCAAUGGACGAGAGUCUGAACCAGCCAAGUAGCGUGAAGGAUGACUGCCCUAUGGGUUGUAAACUUCUUUUAUAUGGGAAUAAAAUGUUCCACGUGUGGGAUUUUGUAUGUACCAUAUGAAUAAGGCUCGGCUAACUCCGUGCCAGCCGCCGCGGUAAUACGGAGGGUCCGAGCGUUAUCCGGAUUUAUUGGGUUUAAAGGGAGCGUAGGUGGAUUGUUAAGUCAGUUGUGAAAGUUUGCGGCUCAACCGUAAAAUUGCAGUUGAAACUGGCAGUCUUGAGUACAGUAGAGGUGGGCGGAAUUCGUGGUGUAGCGGUGAAAUGCUUAGAUAUCACGAAGAACUCCGAUUGCGAAGGCAGCUCACUGGACUGCAACUGACACUGAGGCUCGAAAGUGUGGGUAUCAAACAGGAUUAGAGACCCCAGUAGUC